rnacentral:rRNA from 1 species
AGUGUAGGUGGUUUUUCAAGUCGGAUGUGAAAUUUCCCGGCUCAACUGGGAAGGGUCAUUCGAUACUGUUAAACUGGAGGGCAGUAGAGGGAGGUGGAAUUCCCGGUGUAGUGGUGAAAUGCGUAGAUAUCGGGAGGAACACCAGUGGCGAAAGCGGCCUCCUGGACUGUACCUGACACUGAGGCUCUAAAGCGUGGGGAGCAAACAGGAUUAGAUACCCUGGUAGUCCACGCCAUAAACAAUGGAUACUAGGUAUGGGGGGUAUCGACCCCCUCCGUGCCAAAGUUAACACCUUAAGUAUCCCGCCUGGGGAGUACGGUCGCAAGACUAAA